GACCGCAGCUCCGUCACCUCUUCGUCCGUUAUUAGAACGGCUGAAUCUACAACGUGACCGUGCAAUCUAUUAAAUAUAUAAGCAUCCAUUGGCGUGGCAGCCGUGACUUCACAAAAUACUGAUGAAGAUCAAGAAGAAGCAAAGGAUCAGCCGGAGGAGUAACAAAUUCCCAGCCAAAGUCUUCGAGGUCCUCUAUUUCAAAGCAAUCGGUGGUGUCCACUCUAGCGGUCUCGACUGAAGCACUGCGCGAGACGGGGGCCGGUGUCACGAGUGGGACCCGUACGUCGCGUUCCCCACCUGAUUAGUUAUACCUAAGUUUACACGAGGUGUAAAAAAUUUCUACAUUUAUACAAAUUAACUGUGACAUUUAGUUACCAAAGUACCAGAACUAAGAUUUUUAGCCAGCAAAACCCAUGUGGUGAAAUUUUUUAAACCUAUUUUCAAUCAAUUAAAAAGGUGAAAAUUACAAUAAAUGGUUUAUUCAUUACUCCUGAAAAUUUAUCAUUAAAUAUAGCUAUUAGACAGAAAAUAAAUCUUUGAAAUAUU